rnacentral:lncRNA from 1 species
UCCCUCCGAGUUCGAAAACUCGCAAAUCGACGCAUAAAAUAUAGGGCCUUUUCGCGAAUAAUCCGAUUACUCAAAUCAGCCCCUUCGCGGACUUUUCGCGAUUCCCGAAGAUCCGUCCGUCGGAUUUCCGAUCGGAUCGCACCAGCGCGAUCAGCACGACAGAGGCAUCGAAUCUAGCAUUUCGUUUCGCCCGAAAAGGUUCCCGAUUU